UGCCGCGUGAGUGAAGAAGGCCUUCGGGUUGUAAAGCUCUUUUGUACGGAAAGAAAACGUCUUGUUUAAUACCCGAUGGGCAUGACGGUACCGUACGAAUAAGCACCGGCUAACUACGUGCCAGCAGCCGCGGUAAUACGUAGGGUGCAAGCGUUAAUCGGAAUUACUGGGCGUAAAGCGUGCGCAGGCGGUUAUGUAAGACAGAUGUGAAAUCCCCGGGCUCAACCUGGGAACUGCAUUUGAGACUGCUGGGCUAGAGUGCGGCAGAGGGGGAUGGAAUUCCUGGUGUAGCAAUGAAAUGCGUAGAUAUGGGGAGGAACACCGAUGGCGAAGGCAAUCCCCUGGACCUGCACUGACGCUCAUGCACGAAAGCGUGGGGAGCAAACAGGAUUAGAUACCCUGGUAGUCCACGCCCUAAACGAUGUCAACUGG
rnacentral:rRNA from 1 species